CGCUGGCGGCGUGCUUAACACAUGCAAGUCGAGCGGUAAGGCCCUUCGGGGUACACGAGCGGCGAACGGGUGAGUAACACGUGGGUGAUCUGCCUCGCACUCUGGGAUAAGCCUGGGAAACUGGGUCUAAUACCGGAUAUGACCACGGAUCGCAUGGUUUGUGGUGGAAAGAUUUAUCGGUGCGAGAUGGGCCCGCGGCCUAUCAGCUUGUUGGUGGGGUAAUGGCCUACCAAGGCGACGACGGGUAGCCGACCUGAGAGGGUGACCGGCCACACUGGGACUGAGACACGGCCCAGACUCCUACGGGAGGCAGCAGUGGGGAAUAUUGCACAAUGGGCGAAAGCCUGAUGCAGCGACGCCGCGUGAGGGAUGACGGCCUUCGGGUUGUAAACCUCUUUCGACAGGGACGAAGCGCAAGUGACGGUACCUGUAGAAGAAGCACCGGCCAACUACGUGCCAGCAGC
rnacentral:rRNA from 1 species